GGCACCAUGGCUCAGCUGGUUAAAACACUUACCUUAUAAGCAGGGGAUCCUGGGUUCAACUCCCAGUGGUGCCU